rnacentral:rRNA from 1 species
GGCUCAGGACGAACGCUGGCGGCGUGCCUAAUACAUGCAAGUUGAGCGCUGAAGGUUGGUACUUGUACCAACUGGAUGAGCAGCGAACGGGUGAGUAACGCGUGGGGAAUCUGCCUUUGAGCGGGGGACAACAUUUGGAAACGAAUGCUAAUACCGCAUAAAAACUUUAAACACAAGUUUUAAGUUUGAAAGAUGCAAUUGCAUCACUCAAAGAUGAUCCCGCGUUGUAUUAGCUAGUUGGUGAGGUAAAGGCUCACCAAGGCGAUGAUACAUAGCCGACCUGAGAGGGUGAUCGGCCACAUUGGGACUGAGACACGGCCCAAACUCCUACGGGAGGCAGCAGUAGGGAAUCUUCGGCAAUGGACGAAAGUCUGACCGAGCAACGCCGCGUGAGUGAAGAAGGUUUUCGGAUCGUAAAACUCUGUUGGUAGAGAAGAACGUUGGUGAGAGUGGAAAGCUCAUCAAGUGACGGUAACUACCCAGAAAGGGACGGCUAACUACAUGCCAGC